GUUAGUAAUGCUUUAGUCAAGUCAUUGCUCAUCUUGUUAAAAUAACGAUGGAUGUCCAACCAUUUGUCUUGGUACUGGCCGAGGUACUCUAUGCAAUCUGCUACGCAGCGAGGCAUUUUCCCCGCAGUCAACUGGAUCCCAAACAUGUUCUCGUGAGCUUUCACGAAGGCUUCGUAGGAAUACUCGUUGAUUUGAAAUAGGACUCGAGCUCCGGCAAUCAACACUUUGCCCAUGAAAGCCACGCUCUUGGAGGCCGCAGCAAUAAAAUCAUUCCAGUCUGUUACGUCAUUGAUUUCAUGUUUUCUAAAUUCGUCGCUGGCUGCAACUGUCAAUAAUAAAAUAAAACUUAGAAAGAUGAGACUUGAACUUUCCUAUCCCAAUUAAUUCAUAGAAAUAUUAGGCUAGUUAUUGUUUCUUUUCAACAAUAACAAUUCAACAAUUUAGUUAAGCAAUACAAUCGUGCAAUCUCUAUAAAAUCUCGCGCCCCUAUUCUCUUUUUAAGAUUUUGAAAUUUUAACUUACCACUGGUUAGAAUAGCAGAGGCCAUCUUCUCCUGGUAUACGUGCUGAACAAAGAGUGACAGAAUUUGCUUGAAUACAACUGUACUUAUUAUCUUGACGAUUAUUGUACGACGCUGAG